CCUACGGGUGGCAGCAGUGGGGGAUUUUGCACAAUGGGGGAAACCCUGAUGCAGCGACGCCGCGUGUGGGAAGACGGUCCUCUGGAUUGUAAACCACUGUCCCCAGGGACGAAGAUGACGGUACCUGGGGAGGAAGCUCCGGCUAACUACGUGCCAGCAGCCGCGGUAAUACGUAGGGAGCGAGCGUUGUCCGGAUUUAUUGGGUUUAAAGGGUGCGCAGGCGGAUUUUUAAGUCAGCGGUCAACUCGUGGGGCUAAACCCCAUCCAGCCGUUGAAACUGGGGAUCUAGAGUGUGCGAGAGGUAUGCGGAAUGCGUGGUGUAGCGGUGAAAUGCAUAGAUAUCACGCAGAACCCCGAUUGCGAAGGCAGCAUACCGGUGCACAACUGACGCUCAGGCACGAAAGCGUGGGUAUCGAACAGGAUUAGAUACCCUUGUAGUC
rnacentral:rRNA from 1 species